GACGAACGCUGGCGGCGUGCUUAACACAUGCAAGUCGAACGGUAAGGCCCUUCGGGGUACACGAGUGGCGAACGGGUGAGUAACACGUGGGUGAUCUGCCCUGCACUUCGGGAUAAGCCUGGGAAACUGGGUCUAAUACCGGAUAGGACUACUGCCUGCAUGGGUGGUGGUGGAAAGCUUUUGCGGUGUGGGAUGGGCCCGGGGCCUAUCAGCUUGUUGGGGGGGUGAUGGCCUACCAAGGCGACGACGGGUAGCCGGCCUGAGAGGGUGACCGGCCACACUGGGACUGAGAUACGGCCCAGACUCCUACGGGAGGCAGCAGUGGGGAAUAUUGCACAAUGGGCGCAAGCCUGAUGCAGCGACGCCGCGUGAGGGAUGACGGCCUUCGGGUUGUAAACCUCUUUCAGCACCGACGAAGCGCAAGUGACGGUAGGUGCAGAAGAAGGACCGGCCAACUACGUGCCAGCCGCCGCCGUAA
rnacentral:rRNA from 1 species